GUCACGUGACGCGGCACCCAAAAGUUACUUGUCCGUGAAUAAAGUAACGGCGGCGAGAAAACAAGACACCGGUCAUUGGGCGAUUAGUUGCGGGUGUCCUCUAGCCCAAGACCAAGCCAGUCGGAAAAGCCUUCUUCCCAGCAUCAGCACAACAGAGUUGCUAAUUAAGCUGCAACUUUGACACAGCUGUGGAAGGAGACAUGUGUUUCAUAGCUACACAGCGACCAGCAAAAAAGAAAGGAAAGCCAAAGGAAAGAGUUUUUUCCUUCAACAGGAUUGGACAGUCCAAAAGAGAGGAAAAGUAUAGCAACACAGCAAGACAAAGCACAAUGUAAAAAAAGGUGGAAAAGCUCUAUAUACUGGCUGAUAAUAGAAAAAGAAAAAAAAAUCUCAGAGAAGGGGACUUAUGGCAGACAGACUUAAGAAAAAAAAUGUUGAUGCAUACUAGUAAUAGUAUAGGGCAUAGUAUACCUAUUCACAGUCACUCAUGCCUUAGUCAUCUCCCAUCUUGACUAUUGCAAUGUGCUCUACAUGGAACUGCCCCUGAAGAGCAUGCGAAACUCCAGUUGGUGGAAAAUGCAGCAGCCCACAUAGGUUUUGUGCAGACCUUAGUGUGCAAUAUGUCAGCCGUGGUUGCUGAUUUGCUUCCGAGUGCAAUUCAAGGUGCUGGUUGUCACCCUUAUAGCCCUUCAUGACUUGGGACCAGGUUAUCUGAGGGACUAACUCUUGCCGAUCACAUCCACUCGACCCACUAGAGCGAGGAAGUAAGGAAUGUUGCGGGUCCUGUCCCCUCAGGAGAUACAUCUGGCAGGACCCAGAAGAAGGGCCUUCUCCGUGGUGGCUCCCUCUGGAACAUUAUUCCCCCAGAGAUGAGACUGGCCCCUACUCUAGCACUCUUCCGGAAGGCACUGAAGACCUGGUUCUGCCAGCAGGCCUGGGGAAUCCAGACCGGGCUAGAGCCCAUUAAAUGGAAUUGGUGGACUAGCUUGUUGCCUGAGUUCAUGGGCUGAGAGAGAAAGAGAGAGUGGCCUGAAAUCAUCCAGCCAACUUUCAUGCCUACGGUGAGACCAAAACUCAUAGUCUCUUGAUUGCUAGACUUAGGCCUUCACCACUAGACAAAAGUGCCUCUCUUGGGUCAGUCUAAUUGGAUACAGUUUUCAAAAUAAUCUAUGACAAGCUGCAUCAAUGGAAGUGUUAUGUAUCAUUUAUUUAUGUGAAACUGGGUUCUGUUAUUUUUAUGCCCUUUUCAAAUUCUGUGCCCAUUUCUGGACAUUGCAUUUCAAAGUAAUAUAAAAUGUGAAGAAGUUACAAGAAAUUAUAGUUGGGGGUAGCAACUAAGUUCUACAAAUUGAGACUGAAGGAACUGAGAAUACAUUUAAUCGUGAAAAGGGAAAUCAAAAACCUAGAGAAAUAUUACUAAGGAGCAUGCCAUGAUCUGUUAGUUUUAUUCCAAGACUACAGCUACAGCUACAGGAGAGAAGAUACAGGUUUAAAAAUUAAGUAAGAACCAAGAGAAAGAACAAGUCAACAGUGGGAAUAAUUAUUGAUUAUAAUUAUUAUACUGAAUAUUACACUGAAUUUCACUGGAUUUGUUCAAACAGAAGCUAGAAACCAACUUCCAAGGUUGCUUUCAUUUCGAUUUUUCACUAGUUGGGAGCUGAAUUUGAGAGGCUAAAUGAUACUUUCCCAUGUAUUACAUAGAGUUAUUUGGAAGAAAAUAGAGGAAAUCAUUGACUAUUGUAUGAUGGUCAGAAUAUCCCACCAAUAUCCUAAUUUUCAGUCUUAAUUUUAGUCCAAUUAUUUUAAGAAUAAACACUUAAUAUAAUCCACAAUCUAUACAGCCACUUAAAUUAAUAUGUGUUGUGUGCUCCCAAGCUUAAUACUCACUACACUUUCUUUUAAAAAAAAUCUGAAUAUGUCAUAUUUCUUUGGAGUUUGCUGCAAUCCACCAAAUUUAGUGCAAUUGGCUUUGAAGCAGGCAUAGAUAGAAUUCUGUAAUUUAGUGUCACUUAUUUUAAGAACAUAAGGAAGUCUGUUGUCAUCUGCCUUGUUCCUCCUAACAGCAAGUAGGCAGAGGUGUAAAGCCUCUGAACUUGGCUUUCUGUGCAGCCAAUGUAUCUAACAGUUUAGGUUCAUCUCUUGAACUUGUCUAAUCCUAAAGCUGUUUUAACUUGAGGCCAUCCUCAUAUCAUGUCAAAUGAAUUCUUUCUAAAUGAUGUAUGAGAUAAUUUGUUUUUAUAAUUUAUUUGUGUAAGAUCACUUUCACCAUUAUUUACUUGAAAAAGAGGGAAAUCUGUAUUUUUGCUACUCGCAGUACCCAGUAUGUUUCCAACAUGCAACAUGGCCAUUUUUGUAUUGUAGACUUUCACUUUUCUAAAGAGCCUUUUUUUUUUUUUUUUUUUGCUGUGAAGAAUUGCUCUGAACUCCAGCACAGCUUAUGCCUUUAUGACAAUCUGUAGUCAUCAGUGAAAUAUGGUGGCUUUUGGGUCAUCAUUAAUGUCAGCUGCAGAUCUCAAAAGGCUUUGCAGAAUGGAUGGCAGAGCUGCAACUGCUUACACUGAGCUACAUUAUCUCCCUGCAGAGGAGAGAAAAAAAAAAAGACCUCAGUAUUUUUUCAGAUAUUUUGAUUUCCUAAAAAGAUAUUACCCAGGAUAAAAUAUUUUUCUUUCCCCUGUAUUUCUUUAAAAAGUCUAAUAUAAUAUAUAACGGUGUUUCUAGUUGUCAAGGUUAUAGGUAAACUAUGGGUAAAAAACCUGUUGUCUCUGAAUGUGUUUUUUUUUCUCCCCUCUGGCCCAUAGUUAAGAUGCUGGAGGUCCAAGUUCCUCUUCUCAAAAAUAGAAAUCAAUGGAUAACUUCAGUCACUGCCUCUUAGUCCAACCUAUCUCAUAAUGCUGUUCCUGUGAAGAUAAAAUUGGAAAUAGGAGUGCUAUAUAUGCUGCCUGAAGCUUCAAGAACAAAAACAAAUCACGGUGGGCUAAUUUCAGUUCUGAGUGUCUAUCUGCUAUUUUAUAAAGGUACCUGGGAUUCUUUCAUGUGUGUAAAAAGAUAAAAACAAAACAAAAACUUCUGCAAAGCUAAAAGUUUCUUUUUUAAAAAAAAAAAUGCCCUGUUCUGUAACUAUAAUUUCCAAAAUUCCAGCAGGCAAAUAUAGAAAUUGGAGCCCCAACACAUCUGAGUUAUGCCAGGUUGAAAGGGAGGCUUAGUAUGUCAGACUAGGAUUGAACUAGUCACCAUUCUUGAAGAAAGAAUGGGAUUAAAAUGUAAUAAUUAUUUUUUGCCCAAAGAUGCUGUUCAAAAGGCAACUGGACUUUCUUGGGUUUUUUUUUCCUGGAAAAUAUUUCUCUUCUCAUCCAAGAAGCUUCUUCAGUUCUGUUCUUUGUGUUUAUUCAUUAUAUUGCACUAUAUACCUGUAUUAACAAACCACAUUUUGUUUACAUUAUAAACCAUAUGAUUCUUAACAUAAUGGAUUGGUUCCCAUAGCAUUUGGCAUUACAGAUUGGGGGUAAAUGCUCUCAAUUUAGAAAUAAAUGUAUUUAUUUAAAUAGUUGUCAUUUGUACAUUUCGAUUUCAUGUUUACAAAAGGAUAUUUUUCAGAGUGGCUAACUUUAACAAUAAAAAACCAUGAGAGACUUA